rnacentral:tRNA from 1 species
GGCGCCGUGGCUUAGUUGGUUAAAGCGCCUGUCUAGUAAACAGGAGAUCGUGGGUUCGACUCCCACCGGAGCCU